UCGAUCUGAGCCAUUGAAGCAA
rnacentral:misc_RNA from 1 species